GCGGAUGUGGUGGAAUUGGUAGACACGCAGUCUUGAGGGGGCUGUGCCUUAGGGCGUGAGGGUUCAAGUCCCUCCAUCCGCACCA
rnacentral:tRNA from 2 species